GAUGAACGCUGACAGAAUGCUUAACACAUGCAAGUCGAUGGGGAAGUGGUGCUUGCACCAUGGCAACCAUGGCGGACGGGUGAGUAACGCGUAAGGGACUUACCUGCAUGACUGGGAUAACAGGGGGAAACACCUGACAAGACCGGAUAAUGUCAUGGAGCUGCAUGGCUUUAUGAUGAAAGGAGACGCCUGCGGAGAGCCUUGCGUCCUAUUAGCUAGUUGGUGAGGUAAUGGCUCACCAAGGCGAAGAUAGGUAGCCGGCCUGAGAGGGUGGACGGCCACAAGGGGACUGAGAUACGGCCCUUACUCCUACGGGAGGAAGCAGUGGAGAAUAUUGGACAAUGGGGGCAACACUGAUCCAGCAAUUCUGUGUGCAAGAAGAAGGUUUUCGGAUUGAAAAGUGCUUUCAGCAGGGAAGAAGUAAGUGACGGUACCUGCAGAAGAAGCGACGGCUAAAUACGUG
rnacentral:rRNA from 1 species